GAGUUUGAUCGUGGCUCAGAUUGAACGCUGGCGGCAUGCCUUACACAUGCAAGUCGAACGGCAGCAUGAUCUAGCUUGCUAGAUUGAUGGCGAGUGGCGAACGGGUGAGUAAUACGAUCGGAACGUGCCCUGUAGUGGGGAUAACUAGUCGAAAGAUUAGCUAAUACCGCAUACGACCUGAGGGUGAAAGUGGGGGACCGCAAGGCCUCAUGCUAUAGGAGCGGCCGAUGUCUGAUUAGC
rnacentral:rRNA from 1 species